rnacentral:misc_RNA from 1 species
UUCAACAGUAGAGGCCAGUUUUAUCCAGCUAUGGUUUAUUUAUCGACCUCUAAGAUCAAUUUGGUGCUGCUUCUUAACAUGGGUCUAGUCAUUAUGUGCAUUUUGUGGCAAUUAACUAAACGGGUAUUCCUUGGUUCCCUCCGAGAAGCUGAAGUUGAAAGGUUGAAUGAGCAGUCAUGGAGAGAAGUUAUGGAAAUCCUCUUUGCUAUCACUAUUUUCAGGCAGGACUUCUCAGUGAUGUUUCUUGCAAUGGUCACAGCUUUACUGUUAAUCAAGGCAUUACAUUGGUUAGCCCAAAAGAGGGUAGAGUACAUCGAGACAACCCCAUCAGUGCCCAUGUUGUCUCACAUUCGGAUAGUUUCAUUUCUCGGGUUCCUUCUUCUUCUAGACAGUCUGUU